GGACAUGGAGGGAGAGGUGAGCCUGUAUCAGAGCCUCAGAUGUUCGUGGGCCACUGUCACAGGAGGCAAGAGAAAGGAGCCAUCAGAAUCUACUGUCCAAGGGGUGGCUCAGCAGCUAAGAGCACAUACCACUACUGUAGAGAGCCCGUGUUCACUUCCCAGCUCCCAUGCUGGGUGGCUCCCUACCACCCCUAACUCCAGCUCCAGUGGGUCCAAUACUUGUUUCUG
rnacentral:lncRNA from 1 species